CCUUCACAAUGCACGAAAGUGUGAUGAGGGUACUCCGAGUGCGCAUACAUUGUAUGUGCUUUUCUGCAGCGUAAAUAGUUGCAGGAAUAAGGGCUGGGCAAGACCGGUGCCAGCCGCCGCGGUAACACCGGCAGCCCUAGUGGUGGCCACUUUUAUUGGGCCUAAAGCGUCCGUAGCCGGACAGGCGAGUCUUUGGGUAAAUCCUACGUCUUAAGCGUGGGAAUUCUAAAGAUACUACCUGUCUUGAGGCCGGGAGAGGCUGGAGGUACUCCUGGGGUAGGGGUAAAAUCCUAUAAUCCUGGGGGGACCACCGAUGGCGAAGGCAUCCAGCUGGAACGGGCCUGACGGUGAGGGACGAAACCCAGGGGAGCGAGCCGGAUUAGAUACCCGGGUAGUCCUGGGCGUAAAUGAUGUGGGCUUGGUGUGAGCGCAUCGACGAGGUGCGCUUGUGCCGUAGGGAAGCCGUUAAGCCCACCGCCUGGGGAGUACGGUCGCAAGGCUGAAACUUAA
rnacentral:rRNA from 1 species